AACAGACUCCUACGGGAGGCAGCAGUGGGGAAUAUUGGGCAAUGGGCGCAAGCCUGACCCAGCAACGCCGCGUGAAGGAAGAAGGCUUUCGGGUUGUAAACUUCUUUUAAGAGGGAAGAGCAGAAGACGGUACCUCUUGAAUAAGCCACGGCUAACUACGUGCCAGCAGCCGCGGUAAUACGUAGGUGGCAAGCGUUGUCCGGAUUUACUGGGUGUAAAGGGCGUGCAGCCGGGAAGACAAGUCAGAUGUGAAAUCCCGCGGCUCAACCGCGGAACUGCAUUUGAAACUGUUUUUCUUGAGUACCGGAGAGGUCAUCGGAAUUCCUUGUGUAGCGGUGAAAUGCAUAGAUAUCACGCAGAACUCCGAUUGCGAAGGCAGCAUACCGGCGCCCAACUGACGCUGAAGCACGAAAGCGUGGGUAUCGAACAGGAUUAGAUACCCUAGUA
rnacentral:rRNA from 1 species